GGAGAGGUGUCCGAGUGGCUUAAGGAGCACGCUUGGAAAGCGUGUGUGCGGGAUUACCGUACCGUGGGUUCGAAUCCCACCCUCUCCGCCA
rnacentral:tRNA from 1 species